GCGGUGUAAUUGGGUACCCAUAGGUAGACACGGGGAAAUUAACUUAAAAUCCCUCGGGCUUGCCCGUGCGGGUUCGAUCCCCGCCGUCCGCACCA
rnacentral:tRNA from 1 species